GUGCCUAAUACAUGCAAGUCGAGCGAAUGGAUUAAGAGCUUGCUCUUAUGAAGUUAGCGGCGGACGGGUGAGUAACACGUGGGUAACCUGCCCAUAAGACUGGGAUAACUCCGGGAAACCGGGGCUAAUACCGGAUAACAUUUUGAACCGCAUGGUUCGAAAUUGAAAGGCGGCUUCGGCUGUCACUUAUGGAUGGACCCGCGUCGCAUUAGCUAGUUGGUGAGGUAACGGCUCACCAAGGCAACGAUGCGUAGCCGACCUGAGAGGGUGAUCGGCCACACUGGGACUGAGACACGGCCCAGACUCCUACGGGAGGCAGCAGUAGGGAAUCUUCCGCAAUGGACGAAAGUCUGACGGAGCAACGCCGCGUGAGUGAUGAAGGCUUUCGGGUCGUAAAACUCUGUUGUUAGGGAAGAACAAGUGCUAGUUGAAUAAGCUGGCACCUUGACGGUACCUAACCAGAAAGCCACGGCUAACUACGUGCCAGCAGCCGCGGUAAUACGUAGGUGGCAAGCGUUAUCCGGAAUUAUUGGGCGUAAAGCGCGCGCAGGUGGUUUCUUAAGUCUGAUGUGAAAGCCCACGGCUCAACCGUGGAGGGUCAUUGGAAACUGGGAGACUUGAGUGCAGAAGAGGAAAGUGGAAUUCCAUGUGUAGCGGUGAAAUGCGUAGAGAUAUGGAGGAACACCAGUGGCGAAGGCGACUUUCUGGUCUGUAACUGACACUGAGGCGC
rnacentral:rRNA from 1 species